rnacentral:rRNA from 1 species
UACGAAUGUGGCAAGCGUUGUUCGGAAUCACUGGGCGUAAAGAAUGCGUAGGCGGCUUAACAAGUCAGGAGUGAAAUCCCAGGGCUUAACCCUGGAACUGCUCUUGAAACUGUUUUGCUAGAGUCCCGGAGGGGUUGGCGGAAUUCCGAGUGUAGAGGUGAAAUUCGCAGAUAUUCGGAGGAACACCAGUGGCGUAGGCGGCCAACUGGACGGGAACUGACGCUGAGGCAUGAAAGUGUGGGGAUCAAACAGG